AAAUUAAUACAUCAAGUUUAAUUUGUUUUUUUUUUUAAUACGGUCUGCUUCAAAUGAAACAGAUAGAUAGAAAGACAUCCUACAAAAUGUUUGGAUUUUUUCAGAUAUUUCUGAUAUUUGUUGGAGUAAGAUUGACCAGUGCCAAAGACUGUAAAACCCACAAUAUUGUUUACGAUUCAUAUAAUUGGGUGUACUGUUCCGGAGACUGCUGUAAUAUCUUGUACGAUGACCCAUGCUGCUAUUAUAAAACUACUUAUACUACUUCCGGAACUAAAUUGUCCAAUGGAGCUUAUUAUGGCAUGACUGGAGGUGGUAUUGUGUUUAUUGUGCUGGUUGUAGCUUGCUGUUGUUAUGGGUGUAGGUCGAGAAGGCCGAGUGGAGGACAGGUGAUAUCAACUUUUCAGCCAACAGUGCCUUACGCUCCUUACUGCAUUUCACCUGGAGCUCAUCCAUUUGGAAUGACAAACAAUGGUUUUUCGGGAGGACACAAUCCACCAAUUGCCUCGGCGCCAGUUACAAAUGGUAAACGGAGCUCAUCACUGUCAUCGCUAAGCAGUAGUUUAAAGCUAGCGUCAAAUGCGUUUGAAAUGGCAGGAAAUUUAGGAGAAAUUGGUGGAAGCGUGAGUGAAAUAUCUGAAGCCUUUAUGUAAAUUUAGGCUUUAGAUUACAGGAUUAUAAAGAUACAUGUGUGCUUGUGUAUGCAAAGUUUUGCAUAUAAACUGACUACUCUAAUGUGUACUAACAAACUAUCAACCAACUGUUUUGUUGCAAUGCUAUACUCAUGUUAAUGUAAUGCAUACUAUUAGAGUCAAUAGUUUUUAUUGUAAAGUGUACUAUAAGCAAUCUUUUUGGGGCGUAUGGCAAAGAAGGCAGAUUUUUCCAAUCUUGACCUUCUAAGAAAUUUUUUAAGAUCAUUUGUUUUUUAUAGUAAAACAAAAUUACAUGUAAAAAUAAGAUAUGGUAUGAUUACCAGUGAGACAACUAUCCAGCAGAGUCCAAAUGACAUGGAUAUAGGCUUUAGAUCACCGAUUGACCAACAGCAAUAAGCAAAACCCAUACCGUAUAUGUAGCGUAAAAAAUACAACAUGACAAGAUGUUGAUUAGGAAUUCAAACGAGACAAACCAAUGUAUAUGGUGACAUUGAUAUAAACAUGUAUUUUCAACUUCCACAAAAAUCAAAUAUUGUUAUUAAGAUUAACCAGUUGUAGUACUUUAAAUGUAGCAGAUUGACAAAACCAACAGUUACUAUAACUACAGACGAAUAUAGCAAUGCUUCAACUUCAUCUUGCCACGCCAUUUUAAAUUAGUAUAAAUCCAGUAUAGUAUGCGAUUGUGAGGAGAUUUAUUAAUAAAGAUUUUACCCCUAUAUCGAGUGUGAUAUGAUGUUUCUCUACUCGAGAAAUUUUCACAUUUAAAACGCGAGCUUUCCGAGAUUUAGUGGUGGCAUUGGAUUCUCUAAUGAUUUUGAGACGAUAUGUAGACAAACGUAAUCUUUCUUUUUCAAUAACCUUGAAAAAGUUGUGAUAUUUCAAUAUAACGUCGUCAUUUUGCCGUGACUUCGCAAUAGAAAAUUCAAAGGAAAGAAAGAAAAUCAAAAAAACCACACGUUGAUUAAAAAAAUAAUAAUAGUUCAAGAAAAAGAUUACAAUUAAGGAGAUAUAGAUUCUACCACUGCCUUUAAUGUUAUUCGAUUUUUUUUCACUCAAGACUGUUAAAUUUUCAAAUUUAAAACGCGAGGCUUGCCCAACAUUUUAAACUUUUAAAGACGAUUUCAAGACGAUAUGUAAGCAAACUUUAUCUUCCUUUUGCAAUGAUAUAAAAAAAGGUGUCCUUUUUCUAUAUGACGUCUUCAGACAUGGUCGCUUUUUUCGUUACGUUACAAUAACAAAAUCAGAAGAAAGCAAGAAAUGCUGACGUCAUAAUAAGGCUUCGACAAAUGAAACGAUCCAAACGUUGGUUAUAAAAACUUUAAAUAACAAAAAUACCGAACUCCAAGGAAAAUUCAAAACUGAAAGUCCUUUAUUAAAUGGAAAAAUAAAAAGCUCAAACACAUCAAACGAAUGGAAAACAACUGUCAUAUCAACAGGUCGGGAAAGUAUAACUAGAUACAAAGAAAAGGACAUAGCAACCUCGGAGAUGUGAUAUUCACCAAGGCUUUAUUUCAAAAAUGAAGCUAUUUGUUGUGAUGCGGUAUAUUAUAUGAAACAAUAAACUUACAAAACAUAUUAAAUCAUCAAACAGAAUACGCUGUUUUGAAAAAUGUAACACUUUAUCUUUUGAAAUCUAUAUUCUUCUCCAUGAAUCAGUCUGUGUCAUGGACUGCAUGUAAAAUGUAUAAGGCUAUUGAAAAGCAAAAUAUAUUGUUUCGAACAAAAUGAGUAAUCAAUAAGAAAGACUACUUCAUUAUCAAAUUAAUAUGCAAACAAAAGAGGCGGAGUUUACAAAAGGGACAUUCAGAGCCCAAACGUCAACGAGAAACCUAUCAAUAUAAAAACACCGUAUAAUAAAGUAAAAUAUUGAUUGUUUUGAAUUCAUUUCUCAAGAGAUAUUCUUUUAAAACUUUAUAGUGAAAAACACUAGGUGAUCAUGUUGUACAAAGAUGUGUUAGGAGUUUUAUAUUUACUUACUACUUGUGGUAAUGUAUUAUUUUCUUAACGCAUAUAUAUUGUUUAGGGAUACUAAAUUAAGCUCUUUUAAUUUAAACAUCCUUUGCAGCAUAACGUAUAUUAAAAAGAAGGCAAACUAUACCAACGGGACAUUUAAAACUCAUUAGAUACCAACGGGAAAUUUAAAACUCAUUAGAUACCAACAGGACAUUUAAAACUCAUAAGAUACCAACGGGAUAUUUAAAACUCAUAAGAUCCAAACGGGACAUUUAAAAUUCAUAAGAUAACAACGGGACAAUAAAAACUCAUCAGAUACCAACGGGACAUUUUAAACUCAUAUGUCGAAGAAACAAUCACAAUCCCAUGGUAAAAACGAAUAACGAUUAAACCAUUAUCGCGACGUCAGCCUAUACAUUUACCGUGGAUUCUUUUUCUAGAAUCAACGCUUCCUAAAUAUGUCGCUUAAAUGGACUCACCAAAUUGUAUUCAAUUGUUUCCUUUGCGUGCAUAAUUUAUUUAAGUUUGAAUUGGUCAAUUUACUGAUUUCUGUUCACUAAUGAAAAUAAUUUAAAAACUUAGCUUUAAAUAUUAUAAUUUGUAUAUGCCUUCACCGGGAAUCGAACCCCUUCCUUGAAAUCUGUUAUGUGUGACUGACAUCAACACAUCGACGAAACCUCUCGGCUACCAAUGGGUUGCAUAUUAAAUGUCUAGUUUAUUUAUAUAAAUGAACAUAUGAUACACAUCGAUACAACGGACACACAGGGCUUGCACCUUUAUGUAUAGAUAAUAGACAACCGUAUAGUAUAAGUUGGUUUAGGUUUCGAAUCCCUGUAUUCUCUUCGUUGUACCUACUCUUUAGUUUUCCUGUUUUUCUUAUUUUGUAUGCUACUGUAGAUAUUUUUGUAAAAAUAUGGGGUUUUCCCGUUUAUUUUUGGAUAAUUAUUUGCUAUUUUUCAUAAUUGAAAUAAAUGAUUACAUUCAA